rnacentral:tRNA from 1 species
GAAGAUUUAGUUUAAAAAAACAUUUAUUUGUCAAUUAAAAAAUACUAUAUUAAAGUAAUCUUU